UACGGAGGGUGCAAGCGUUGUUCGGAAUUAUUGGGCGUAAAGCGCACGCAGGCGGUCUGUCAAGUCGGAUGUGAAAUCCCCGGGCUCAACCUGGGAACUGCAUCCGAAACUGGCAGGCUAGAGUCUUGUAGAGGGGGGUAGAAUUCCAGGUGUAGCGGUGAAAUGCGUAGAGAUCUGGAGGAAUACCGGUGGCGAAGGCGGCCCCCUGGACAAAGACUGACGCUCAGGUGCGAAAGCGGGGGGAG
rnacentral:rRNA from 1 species